UGGGGAAUAUUGCACAAUGGGGGAAACCCUGAUGCAGCAACGCCGCGUGAGUGAAGAAGUAUUUCGGUAUGUAAAGCUCUAUCAGCAGGGAAGAUAAUGACGGUACCUGACUAAGAAGCUCCGGCUAAAUACGUGCCAGCAGCCGCGGUAAUACGUAUGGAGCAAGCGUUAUCCGGAUUUACUGGGUGUAAAGGGUGCGUAGGUGGCAGUGCAAGUCAGAUGUGAAAGGCCGGGGCUCAACCCCGGAGCUGCAUUUGAAACUGCAUAGCUAGAGUACAGGAGAGGCAGGCGGAAUUCCUAGUGUAGCGGUGAAAUGCGUAGAUAUUAGGAGGAACACCAGUGGCGAAGGCGGCCUGCUGGACUGUUACUGACACUGAGGCACGAAAGCGUGGGGAGCAAACAGG
rnacentral:rRNA from 2 species